AUUGAACGCUGGCGGCAGGCCUAACACAUGCAAGUCGAACGAGUGGCGGACGGGUGAGUAAUGUCUGGGAAACUGCCUGAUGGAGGGGGAUAACUACUGGAAACGGUAGCUAAUACCGCAUACCAUCGGAUGUGCCCAGAUGGGAUUAGCUAGUAGGUGGGGUAAAGGCUCACCGAGGCGACGCUCCUUAGCUGGUCUGAGAGGAUGACCAGCCAAACGGGAACUGAGACACGGUCCAGACUCCUACGGGAGGCAGCAGUGGGGAAUAUUGGACAAUGGGCGCAAGCCUGAUGCAGCCAUGCCGCGUGUAUGAAGAAGGCCUUCGGGUUGUAAAGUACUGUCAGCAGGGAAGCGUUACCCGCAGAGAAAGCCCCGGCUAACUCCGUGCCAGCCGCCGCGGUAAUUC
rnacentral:rRNA from 1 species